rnacentral:rRNA from 1 species
GGGUUGUGAGGUUAAGCGACUAAGCGUACACGGUGGAUGCCCUGGCAGUCAGAGGCGAUGAAGGACGUGCUAAUCUGCGAAAAGCGUCGGUAAGGUGAUAUGAACCGUUACAGCCGGCGAUGUCCGAAUGGGGAAACCCAGUGCAAUUCGUUGCACUAUCGUUAACUGAAUACAUAGGUUAACGAGGCGAACCGGGGGAACUGAAACAUCUAAGUACCCCGAGGAAAAGAAAUCAACCGAGAUUCCCCCAGUAGCGGCGAGCGAACGGGGAGCAGCCCAGAGUCUGAAUCAGCUUGUGUGUUAGUGGAACGGUCUGGAAAGUCCGACGGUACAGGGUGAUAGUCCCGUACACCAAAAUGCACAGGCUGUGAACUCGAAGAGUAGGGCGGGACACGUGGUAUCCUGUCUGAAUAUGGGGGGACCAUCCUCCAAGGCUAAAUACUCCUGACUGACCGAUAGUGAACCAGUACCGUGAGGGAAAGGCGAAAAGAACCUGAAACCGUGUACGUACAAGCAGUGGGAGCACCUUCGGGUGUGACUGCGUACCUUUGUAUAAUGGGUCAGCGACUUAUAUUCUGUAGCAAGGUUAACCGUAUAGGGGAGCCGCAGGGAAACCGAGUCUUAACUGGGCGUUAAGUUGCAGGGUAUAGACCCGAAACCCGGUGAUCUAGCCAUGGGCAGGUUGAAGGUUGGGUAACACUAACUGGAGGACCGAACCGACUAAUGUUGAAAAAUUAGCGGAUGACUUGUGGCUGGGGGUGAAAGGCCAAUCAAACCGGGAGAUAGCUGGUUCUCCCCGAAAGCUAUUUAGGUAGCGCCUCGUGAACUCAUCUUCGGGGGUAGAGCACUGUUUCGGCUAGGGGGUCAUCCCGACUUACCAACCCGAUGCAAACUACGAAUACCGAAGAAUGUUAUCACGGGAGACACACGGCGGGUGCUAACGUCCGUCGUGAAGAGGGAAACAACCCAGACCGCCAGCUAAGGUCCCAAAGUCAUGGUUAAGUGGGAAACGAUGUGGGAAGGCACAGACAGCCAGGAUGUUGGCUUAGAAGCAGCCAUCAUUUAAAGAAAGCGUAAUAGCUCACUGGUCGAGUCGGCCUGCGCGGAAGAUGUAACGGGGCUAAACCAUGCACCGAAGCUGCGGCAGCGACACUUAUGUGUUGUUGGGUAGGGGAGCGUUCUGUAAGCCUGCGAAGGUGUGCUGUGAGGCAUGCUGGAGGUAUCAGAAGUGCGAAUGCUGACAUAAGUAACGAUAAAGCGGGUGAAAAGCCCGCUCGCCGGAAGACCAAGGGUUCCUGUCCAACGUUAAUCGGGGCAGGGUGAGUCGACCCCUAAGGCGAGGCCGAAAGGCGUAGUCGAUGGGAAACAGGUUAAUAUUCCUGUACUUGGUGUUACUGCGAAGGGGGGACGGAGAAGGCUAUGUUAGCCGGGCGACGGUUGUCCCGGUUUAAGCAUGUAGGCUGGUUGUCCAGGCAAAUCCGGAUAAUCAAGGCUGAGGUGUGAUGACGAGGCACUACGGUGCUGAAGUAACAAAUGCCCUGCUUCCAGGAAAAGCCUCUAAGCAUCAGGUAACAUUAAAUCGUACCCCAAACCGACACAGGUGGUCAGGUAGAGAAUACCAAGGCGCUUGAGAGAACUCGGGUGAAGGAACUAGGCAAAAUGGUGCCGUAACUUCGGGAGAAGGCACGCUGGUGUGUAGGUGAAGUCCCUCGCGGAUGGAGCUGAGACCAGUCGAAGAUACCAGCUGGCUGCAACUGUUUAUUAAAACACAGCACUGUGCAAACACGAAAGUGGACGUAUACGGUGUGACGCCUGCCCGGUGCCGGAAGGUUAAUUGAUGGGGUUAUCGUAAGGGAAGCUCUUGAUCGAAGCCCCGGUAAACGGCGGCCGUAACUAUAACGGUCCUAAGGUAGCGAAAUUCCUUGUCGGGUAAGUUCCGACCUGCACGAAUGGCGUAAUGAUGGCGAGGCUGUCUCCACCCGAGACUCAGUGAAAUUGAACUCGCUGUGAAGAUGCAGUGUACCCGCGGCAAGACGGAAAGACCCCGUGAACCUUUACUAUAGCUUGACACUGAACAUUGAGCCUUGAUGUGUAGGAUAGGUGGGAGGCUUUGAAGCGUGGACGCCAGUCUGCGUGGAGCCAACCUUGAAAUACCACCCUUUAAUGUUUGAUGUUCUAACGUUGGCCCCUUACCGGGGUUGCGGACAGUGUCUGGUGGGUAGUUUGACUGGGGCGGUCUCCUCCCAAAGCGUAACGGAGGAGCACGAAGGUUAGCUAAUCCUGGUCGGACAUCAGGAGGUUAGUGCAAUGGCAUAAGCUAGCUUGACUGCGAGCGUGACGGCGCGAGCAGGUGCGAAAGCAGGUCAUAGUGAUCCGGUGGUUCUGAAUGGAAGGGCCAUCGCUCAACGGAUAAAAGGUACUCCGGGGAUAACAGGCUGAUACCGCCCAAGAGUUCAUAUCGACGGCGGUGUUUGGCACCUCGAUGUCGGCUCAUCACAUCCUGGGGCUGAAGUAGGUCCCAAGGGUAUGGCUGUUCGCCAUUUAAAGUGGUACGCGAGCUGGGUUUAGAACGUCGUGAGACAGUUCGGUCCCUAUCUGCCGUGGGCGCUGGAGAAUUGAGGGGGGCUGCUCCUAGUACGAGAGGACCGGAGUGGACGCAUCACUGGUGUUCGGGUUGUCAUGCCAAUGGCACUGCCCGGUAGCUAAAUGCGGAAGAGAUAAGUGCUGAAAGCAUCUAAGCACGAAACUUGCCCCGAGAUGAGUUCUCCCUGAGACUUUAAGUCUCCUGAAGGAACGUUGAAGACGACGACGUUGAUAGGCCGGGUGUGUAAGCGCAGCGAUGCGUUGAGCUAACCGGUACUAAUGAACCGUGAGGCUUAACCUUACAACGCCGAAG